rnacentral:rRNA from 1 species
GUGGCGGACGGGUGAGUAACGCGUGGGCAACCUGCCCUGUACCGGGGGACAACAGCCAGAAAUGGCUGCUAAUACCGCAUAAGCCUGCUGUGCCGCAUGGCACAGCAGGGAAAACCACGGUGGUACAGGAUGGGCCCGCGUCUGAUUAGUUAGUUGGCAGGGUAACGGCCUACCAAGACAACGAUCAGUAGCCGGCUUGAGAGAGUGGACGGCCACAUUGGGACUGAGACACGGCCCAGACUCCUGCGGGAGGCAGCAGUGGGGAAUAUUGCACAAUGGGGGGAACCCUGAUGCAGCAAUGCCGCGUGGGUGAAGAAGCACCCCGGUGCGUAAAGCCCUGUCAGCAGGGAAGAAAAUGACAGUACCUGGACAAGAAGCCCCGGCUAACUACGUGCCAGCAGCCGCGGUAAUACGUAGGGGGCAAGCGUUAUCCGGAUUUACUGGGUGUAAAGGGAGCGCAGGCGGCGUGGCAAGUCAGAUGUGAAAACCCGGGGCCCAACCCCGGGAGUGCGUUUGAAACUGCCAUGCUGGAGUGCCGGAGAGGUAAGCGGAAUUCCUAGUGUAGCGGUGAAAUGCGUAGAUAUUAGGAGGAACACCAGUGGCGGAGGCGGCUUACUGGACGGUAACUGACGCUGAGGCUCGAAAGCGUGGGGAGCAAACA